rnacentral:rRNA from 1 species
GUGUAGUUUGGCAAUAAAUGUAUAAGUUCAACAUGUGAUGAAGAAUGUAGCUAAAUGCAAUAAUAUUUGUGAAAUGCAGAAUCCCGUGAAUCAAUUCAUGUUUGAAUGUGUCUUGCAUCUUU